UUAGGCCUGAAAACAAAAAUAGGUUUUAAUGAACCGUUAACAUAUUAGAGGUUUCAGUGUGGCACCUAUGAGCAAUCAAAUCUAAAAGUAUGGAACUUGUCAGUGCUUCAUUGAAACCCAAAUUAAUAUCGACUUCCGUUCAGCCAUUUGUUACAGCGUUCAAAAGCAACUGCGUAACAGGAACAACCCAGUGAACAGAACAAAAGACAGACAGAGAAUGGAAGAGACUGAGUGUGAGACCAUAUAAUAAGUCUGACGCGCAGUCACACACAUCUGGUCCGACGCAUCGCCCUCCGUUCAUACACACUGGCUCACACACACCUGUGGAGAAAUGGAAAGAUUCAUCUCUCUUCCUCCUUGAUCAGACAGGCCAUAUGUAACUCCUCAACUAACGUCUGAUCUUGGCUCCCAGAGCGCCAUUUUCUGUCAUUUCGAUCAACAAAACAACUCUAUACUUUCCUUCCAUAUCCUGUGACUUAAAUCCCAUCAUGCCAUGUGUUUCAAAGGGGGCAUAGAGCGCGGCCCAGAAUAUCCCUCCACACAUGAGCAGAUGUUAUUUCGUACACAGUGACCACCGUUCUUGCAGGAUGGGCUGCACACGGCUGAAAGUAAGAGAAGCACAUAAAAGUCCAGCAUUUGAUGAAUGAAAAUCACACCUGUGUUCUCUAAACUGAAGACGGACACAUCAAACAGCCGUAAGGUCAAAUAACCGACAGCAAAUCUGACAUGACUGGCAAAACACACUCUAAAAGCUCCUACAUUUCACAAAACUUGAAGCAACCCAGACAUUAGAGUCAUUCCCCAUCAUCAAAAACAUCUUUACCAAGCUGCUGUUUCAAGCCAUUACUUGAAUCAUUCCUCACCACAAGAAGCUGCUGCAGAGGAAUCGAUAUAUACACAUCAAACGUCCUGAAUCUGGGGCUACGACAUGAGCGCAAGACUUCAAUAGAAUCCAAAUGGUUUUUAGGGCUGGUCCAUUUUAUCGUUUUAAAGUGCAGUAGUCAUGCUUCACCUCACACUCUUAAGAAAUUGAUAUCCGGCCUUUGUAAGCUCUCAAAAAACAAGGCGAUGCAUCAGGAAAGAAGAU